rnacentral:rRNA from 1 species
GUCGGGAAUUUUGGGCAAUGGGCGAAAGCCUGACCCAGCAACGCCGCGUGAGGGAUGAAGGCCUUCGGGUCGUAAACCUCUGUCGGGAGGGACGAAAGGUCGGCGGUCUAAUACGCCGCAGGCUUGACGGUACCUCCAAAGGAAGCGCCGGCUAACUCCGUGCCAGCAGCCGCGGUAAUACGGAGGGCGCGAGCGUUGUUCGGAAUUACUGGGCGUAAAGCGCGUGUAGGCGGCCAGGUAAGUCGGAUGUGAAAGCCCGGGGCCCAACCCCGGAACUGCACCCGAUACUGCCCGGCUGGAGUCCCGGAGAGGAUGGCGGAAUUUCCGGUGUAGAGGUGAAAUUCGUAGAUAUCGGAAGGAACACCAGUGGCGAAGGCGGCCAUCUGGACGGUGACUGACGCUGAGACGCGAAAGCGUGGGGAGCAAACAGGAUUAGAAACCCGAGUAGUCC